rnacentral:rRNA from 1 species
AUGGGCGAAAGCCUGAUGCAGCAACGCCGCGUGAGUGAUGAAGGCCUUCGGGUCGUAAAACUCUGUCCUCAAGGAAGAUAAUGACGGUACUUGAGGAGGAAGCCCCGGCUAACUACGUGCCAGCAGCCGCGGUAAUACGUAGGGGGCUAGCGUUAUCCGGAUUUACUGGGCGUAAAGGGUGCGUAGGCGGUCUUUCAAGUCAGGAGUGAAAGGCUACGGCUCAACCGUAGUAAGCUCUUGAAACUGGGAGACUUGAGUGCAGGAGAGGAGAGUGGAAUUCCUAGUGUAGCGGUGAAAUGCGUAGAUAUUAGGAGGAACACCAGUUGCGAAGGCGGCUCUCUGGACUGUAACUGACGCUGAGGCACGAAAGCGUGGGGAGCAAACAGGAUUAGAUCCCCUGGUAGUCCACGCUGUAAACGAUGAGUACUAGGUGUCGGGGGUUACCCCCUUCGGUGCCGCAGCUAACGCAUUAAGUACUCCGCCUGGGAAGUACGCUCGCAAGAG